UACGUAGGGUGCAAGCGUUAAUCGGAAUUACUGGGCGUAAAGCGUGCGCAGGCGGUGAUGUAAGACAGAUGUGAAAUCCCCGGGCUCAACCUGGGAACUGCAUUUGUGACUGCAUCGCUGGAGUGCGGCAGAGGGGGAUGGAAUUCCGCGUGUAGCAGUGAAAUGCGUAGAUAUGCGGAGGAACACCGAUGGCGAAGGCAACUCCCCUGGACCGACACUGACGCUGAGGCGCGAAAGCUAGGGGAGCAAACGGG
rnacentral:rRNA from 1 species